GACGUAGGGGGCAAGCGUUGUCCGGAAUUAUUGGGCGUAAAGCGCUCGUAGGCGGAUCGGUAAGUCUGUGAAGAAAGACCCGGGCUCAACUCGGGGAACGGCAUAGAUACUGCUGAUCUUGAGACAGUCAGAGGAUGAUGGAAUUCCAGGUGUAGCGGUGAAAUGCGUAGAUAUCUGGAGGAAUACCGGUGGCGAAGGCGGCAUCCUGGACCGGCAUUGACGCUGAUGAGCGAAAGCUAGGGGAGCAAACGGG
rnacentral:rRNA from 1 species